GUGUGCGUUCAUACCAGCAAUAAUGUAUUGGAUUCCAUCGGAACUCUGAAGUUAAGCAUGCUUGGGCGAGAAUGGUACUAAAAACAAGCUUUGUUGCAAGAU
rnacentral:rRNA from 1 species